UACGUAGGGGGCGAGCGUUGCCCGGAUUCACUGGGCGUAAAGCGCGUGUAGGCGGUCUGUUAAGUCGGAUGUGAAAUCUCCGGGCUCAACCCGGAAAUUGCAUCCGAUACUGGCAGACUUGAGGACGGUAGAGGUCGGUGGAAUACCAGGUGUACCGGUGAAAUGGGCAGAUAUCUGGUGGAACACCAGUGGCGAAGGCGGCCGACUGGGCCGAUCCUGACGCUGAGACGCGAAAGCCAGGGUAGCGAAC
rnacentral:rRNA from 1 species